AUUGAACGCUGGCGGCAGGCUUAACACAUGCAAGUCGAACGAGUGGCGGACGGGUGAGUAAUGCUUGGGAAUCUCGCUUAUGGAGGGGGAUAACUUCGGGAAACUGUAGCUAAUACCGCGUACCAUAGGAUGAGCCCAAGGGGGAUUAGGUAGUUGGUGGGGUAAAGGCUCACCAAGCCGACGAUCUCUAGCUGGUCUGAGAGGAUGACCAGCUACACUGGGACUGUGACACGGCCCAGAGGCCUACGGGAGGCAGCGGGGGGGAAGAGUGCGCAAUGGGGGCAACCUGACGGAGCCAUGCCGCGUGAAUGAGGAGGGCCUUCGGGUUGUAAAGUUCUUUCGGUAGCGAGGCGUUAACUACAGAAGAAGCACCGGCUAACUCCGUGCCAGCAGCCGCGGUAAUUC
rnacentral:rRNA from 1 species